rnacentral:lncRNA from 10 species
UAGGGAAUUCCAAAUUCAUAGAAGCUGGUUUAGCCACUGGGUGGAAAAAUCUUAAAUUCCUGAAUGACUCGAUGGAGCAGAAACUGUGACGUAAAGGUCAAAAAAGAGAGAAAACAUCACUGUUCUCUUCAGCAGAACUUUUGUCAGUGUGAUCGAGAAUUGUCUCAAGUGACAAGUGAGCUGACCAGGGGUUAAUAAUUCUGGGAGGUGAUGA